AGUGACAUGGUGGUACGAGAUGGUGUAAAAUUAGGUAGUGAAUUUGGCCCAGGCACAUUGGCUAUCCCAAAAAAUGUAGUAGUUCAAAAUUUCACCAGGAGAUGGUGUUAAAGCUUGACAUAGGGGUGACCUGAUGGAAAUGAACAAAUCUAACAAAUUAAAUAGUUAGCAAUUGGGAGGACACGACCUGUUCAAACACGUAGAUACGCACAAUUUUGGAAUAUGAAUCUGCUAUGCCAUAAUUUUAAGAUGCAACAGCUUGAGCAAUAUCAAUAUAUGUGUUUAGGUUGGAAGAACCCAUUAUUGUGUUAAGUACUAUUAUGUGUUGAGAUUGAUCUUUAUUAGACAAGAUAUAUGUGAUUCAUGUUGCAAUGUUUUGUCCAACCUGUAUUUAACAUUGGUGUUCCAUCCAUACCUGAAGGCAUUAAGUUGAGAGGAGACUUAAGGGCUGAUACUAGAAGUAAAGAGCGAGCAAAACAGGAAACACCUGUUUCCGGUGAUUGCUGCUUGAAGCAAGGUUGCCAAGACAACCAGUGGUUUCUAGCCGGCCUGGACAGGCAUCAGCUAAGGAACAUUCUCGAAACUUCUAGAAACUUCCAGGGAGGCCACCUGACGUACCUGAUGAUGUCAUUCCAAUGAGGUAAUACCAGAAGCCUAUAAAUAGGUUGCCCGGACACAGAGCGGGCGCUUCUUCCUAGUCAGGGCGAUGGCCGUGACGCUGCCCGGAGUAAAAGAACGAAGAUGGAUUUUGCAUUCUUUUUGAGAUUGAACCAAAAUCUACUAAGAUGAAUUUCCAGAAUCUUCGAAUUGGACUUUGUCAAAUUUUAAGCUUUGAGGAAAGCAGAGGAGAGAGCCGAUCCUGGCAGAAAGGGGAAGUUGCCACUUUUACUUUCUCCUCAUGGCCAGACCUUUCCUCUUUUUUAAACAGAAUUCGGAUUUUGGAACAAAGGAGAGCCGAUCACUCGACUUGUUCAACCAAAUAGGAUUUUAGACCUUUAGUCUCCUCUCUUGUUCUGUCUGGGCCCCUUCUGCUUUGAUGUGCAAGAUGCCCCCCCUGUGCUUCAAAUGGAACUCAUUGACCUGCAGUGCAACUCUGAACUCAAAGCCAAGUUCAGGGAGGACAUACUUGUGUGAAAAGCUCUUCUCUACCUUGAACUUCAAUAAGUCCAAGUACAGGUCCAGACUAACAGAUGAGCAUCUUCAAGCCCUACUGAGGGUCUCGACUGCCUCCUCCCUUAAGCCAAAUGUGGCUCGGCUAUGCAAGAGGAAGCGCUGCCAGGUCUCUAGCAGUAAAAAGUAGGCAGAAGAAGCCAUGUUCAUAACAGUUUAUGUUCAAUGUUCCAUUCAUGUUCAGAAAGUUACAGGUUAAAGAGCUGUUAAUACAGACAUUUGAAUCUGAAUAAUAAUUACAUUUCUCUAGUCAGCAACUAUAUUUGGUUUAUUUAGUCUUCUAUAUCUGCUGAAUUAUUAUUGUUAUCAUUUUAUUUCUUACUGAUUUAUUUUUUCCUUAUGAGUUGUUAAUUUAUUUAAAUUUUCUAAGACAAAAAAGGAUGAAUAAACAAAGACAUUUGAUAACACUGGAAUGUUUUUGUGAAAAACCUGCUGCGGCCCAGCCUCACCCAGAAUCUACGUCCAGCGGCCCCCGGGUAAAUUGAGUUUGAGACCCCUGCUUUAAAGGAAUGAUACUUUUUAGAUGUGUAGCUUAUUUGCCGCCAUGGAGGUAAUGGUUACUGACUCUAGAGUGAGUUUACAACGUGAUGACCCACAUUAGUAGUCAGCAAAACUUGUUGUUAGCUCGGUAGUUGUGGUGUAAGUAUUUAAAUCGUUUGUCAUAUUACAUGCUCAAACACAGUCAGCGGACGGUAACACACUUUUAAGAGAAGACAAAAGGAUGGAGUCUGACGACACUGGGAAAAGCGGCUUGUUAGGGUUUACAGAUUAUCUUGAUCGUAUGAUUAUGUUGGAAUGUAACCUGUAAUAAUUAACCUAGCUUGUCCUGUCUUAACAAAAGUAGUAGAACAAAGUGCUAAGAUCUUUUGAACUGAUUGACUAACUGCAGAGGAAGCAAUCAGUGUUGCUUUGUUUACACGUCGUAAAAGACCCCCUCCUAUGCUUUGAU